CUUGGAUAUGGAGCAACUGAAAGCAAUUAACUAUUCCAUGGAAACUUCAUCUCAUAAAGAAACUCCAGUCAAAAGCAAACCGUGGUCAUUGUUACUAUGUUCGUGGAACUUUAUCAACCAACCAAAGGAUGUUAACACUUUGAAUGGCCCAGUCAGUUGUGUUGUAGAAUGUCCUUCAAUUUGGAUUUGCCUGCUACAGAGCUUCCCAACCUCCUUUGUUCAGCCAGCAGUCUCCUUUUCAUUUUAAUAAAUUUCAUGUUGU
ensembl:lncRNA